rnacentral:rRNA from 1 species
GUGCCAGCAGCCGCGGUAAUACGUAGGUGGCAGGCGUUGUCCGGAUUUAUUGGGCGUAAAGCGAGCGCAGGCGGUUUUUUAAGUCUGAUGUGAAAGCCUUCGGCUCAACCGAAGAAGUGCAUCGGAAACUGGGAAACUUGAGUGCAGAAGAGGACAGUGGAACUCCAUGUGUAGCGGUGAAAUGCGUAGAUAUAUGGAAGAACACCAGUGGCGAAGGCGGCUGUCUGGUCUGUAACUGACGCUGAGGCUCGAAAGUAUGGGUAGCAAACAGGAUUAGAUACCCUGGUAGUCCAUACCGUAAACGAUGAAUGCUAAGUGUUGGAGGGUUUCCGCCCUUCAGUGCUGCAGCUAACGCAUUAAGCAUUCCGCCUGGGGAGUACGGCCGCAAGGCUGAAACUCAAAGGAAUUGACGGGGGCCCGCACAAGCGGUGGAGCAUGUGGUUUAAUUCGAAGCUACGCGAAGAACCUUACCAGGUCUUGACAUACUAUGCAAAUCUAAGAGAUUAGACGUUCCCUUCGGGGACAUGGAUACAGGUGGUGCAUGGUUGUCGUCAGCUCGUGUCGUGAGAUGUUGGGUUAAGUCCCGCAACGAGCGCAACCCUUAUUAUCAGUUGCCAGCAUUAAGUUGGGCACUCUGGUGAGACUGCCGGUGACAAACCGGAGGAAGGUGGGGAUGACGUCAAAUCAUCAUGCCCCUUAUGACCUGGGCUACACACGUGCUACAAUGGAUGGUACAACGAGUUGCGAACUCGCGAGAGUAAGCUAAUCUCUUAAAGCCAUUCUCAGUUCGGAUUGUAGGCCGCAACUCGCCUACAUGAAGUCGGAAUCGCUAGUAAUCGCGGAUCAGCAUGCCGCGGUGAAUACGUUCCCGGGCCUUGUACACACCGCCCGU